UACGGGGGGGGCAAGCGUUGUUCGGAAUUACUGGGCGUAAAGGGUUCGUAGGUGGCCUACUAAGUCAGACGUGAAAUCCCUCAGCUCAACUGGGGAACUGCGUCUGAGACUGGAAGGCUUGAGUGCAGGAGAGGAACGCGGAAUUCCAGGUGUAGCGGUGAAAUGCGUAGAUAUCUGGAAGAACACCGGUGGCGAAGGCGGCGUUCUGGACUGUUACUGACACUGAGGAACGAAAGCCAGGGGAGCAAACGGG
rnacentral:rRNA from 1 species